GGCAGCUGUACCAUCUUACAUCCCACCAGCCCCGGGAACUUCAAACAGGAGACCAAGUGGUGACUUCAGGGACAUCCAGGGUGAUGUUGCAUCCCAGGACGAGAAGAGGCUGCCACUAGGAGCCACAGAUAGAGCUCCAGGGAGUUUAACAUACAACCUUUAAGAGGAAGAAAUUGCACCAGCCCAGAAUCAACUGCAUAACAGACAACCUUUAAAACGAAGAAAUCACACCAGCCCAGAACCAACUGCAUAACAUACAACCUUUAAAAGGAAGAAAUCGCAGCAGCCCAGAACCAACUGCAUAACAUACAACCUUUAAAAGGAAGAAAUCGCAGCAGCCCAGAACCAACUGCAUAACAUACAACCUUUAAAAGGAAGAAAUCGCAGCAGCCCAGAACCAACUGCAUAACAUACAACCUUUAAAAGGAAGAAAUCGCACCAGCCCAGAAUCAACUGCAUAACAUACAAACUUUAAAAGGAAGAAAUCGGCCUGGUGCAGUGGCUCACGCCUAUAAUCCCAG
rnacentral:lncRNA from 10 species